rnacentral:lncRNA from 1 species
GUCCAAGCUGUAAACUCAUUUCCCAGGACAGAAAGGUAGACUACUCUCUUCUUCAACAAGUAGGAUGCGUUUACCAGAUCCAGAGAUUUGUGCAAGUCGUUCUGUCCACCCAGGAAGGGCAUAGACGGUGAAAAUAAAUGAAAUUGCCAAUCUUUUCAAAUCCUCUGAAAUUGCAACUCCUCUGGGAAAUUAGAAAUCUCUUCCCAGUCAUUCUUCUUGUAUUAUAUAAAUCUACGGAUGCUCUUGCAGGAAGGACUUCCCUGGGAAACAUUGGUGGAAUGUUACCUUUGCUGUAGCUUUCUGGCUUUGUCAAAAUAGGUACCUUGGAGUUUUUUUUCCAGUUUUUAUCGUCACAAGAUUUUUUAAAUGAACUAAAUGUUGGACAAUUGAGAUAAUCCCUUUUUUGGAAUUUCUUUCAUUUUGGAAUCCACAGAUACUGGCACGUUAUCAUUACUCAUCAGCAUAAGGCAACUCACAGUUGUGUGUGUUGGGCUUCUUACUCUUUUUCCACUCAACACUGUGCUUUCUGGAUCUAUCCAUGAUGCAUACAUAGUGUGUGGCUGCUGACUGCAGGAUACUGCUUCCAAGCGUGCAUUCAACCCUACACUUUCUGGAUCUAUCCAUGAUGCACACACAGUGCACACACAUAGCAAGUGGCUUCUGACUGCAGGAUAAUGUUUCCAAGCAUUCUGCACAUCCCCACUCCCAAUGAUGUCUCCAGUUCCCAGCCAGAGCACACACCACCGCGGUGAAUCCUCUUGUAUGUGUGUCUCCUAGUGGACCUGUUGUAAGAAUUUAUUUGGUUAUAUGCCCAGAGUAAAAAUUUGGGUCAUUGGCUAUUUUUAUACUUAAUUGGAUUGAACACUAUGCAUUUUUGCAUUGCUCUCAUAUGGGUCUUUCUGUGGUGUCCCAUGCAAAUACAAAUACAUAGAUAUCUGUGCUUAUAUCAAAACUAUGUUGUCUUGAUUACUAUGGCUUCUGUGUGUCUUAAUAUCUAUUGGAGCAAGUCUUCUCUCUUUUUUUUUUUUUUUUUUUUUUUUUGAGACAG